CCCAUCUUUUAUAAAGAUAAUUGAUGUGAAGUUCCGUUUUAGACAUCCUUAGGUCUUAAGUGUUAGAUAGAAAAAAAAAAUCACCAGGAAAUGAGUCUGAUGAUAAAGUAAACGGAAAUAUAGAAAAGGUCCCUGAUGUUGGUCAUGCUGUUUGGCAUUUUAUUUAUGACAUCAUAAAUAUGUAAAGUAAGGCAUUUUUCAAUC
rnacentral:lncRNA from 1 species